rnacentral:rRNA from 1 species
CGCAUCUGUGCAUGCAGCAUAUCAAUAAGCGGAGGAAAAGAAACUAACAAGGAUUCCCCUAGUAACGGCGAGUGAAGCGGGAAGAGCUCAAAUUUGAAAUCUUAAAGGGUUUCCCUUUACGAAUUGUAGUUUAAAGAAGUGUUUUCUGUUGAGGUUUUGGUAAAAGUUCUUUGGAAUAGGACAUCAUAGAGGGUGAGAAUCCCGUAUUUGACCUUUACUUUCAACUUUGUGAUACACUUUCAAAGAGUCGGAUUGUUUGGGAAUGCAGUCCAAAAUGGGUGGUAAAUUUCAUCUAAAGCUAAAUAUUGGCGAGAGACCGAUAGCGAACAAGUACCGUGAGGGAAAGAUGAAAAGAACUUUGAAAAGAGAGUUAAACAGUACGUGAAAUUGUCAAAAGGGAAGCGUUUGACACCAGUGUUGUUUUUCUGAAAAUCAAUUAAAGAACUGUUUAUGCUAAGUUGUUUAGACUUUAUCAGCUAUCUGCUUUAGUUUUGAGCUUUUCUUUAAUGCACUUUUCAGUUAACAAGUCAACAUCAAUUUCUUUUGCUGUAAAAAAGCUUGAGGAAGGUGGCUUGAGAUUCGUCUUAAGUGUUUAUAGCCUCUUGCCUAUGCAGUCGGAGAGAUUGAGGUCUGCAGCGUAGAUCCUUCGGGGCUAAAUGCAUUUGUGCUAAGUUAUAGCAUUUUAUAGACAACUUGUUGACUAUGAUUUGUCUUGUAGCUUACUCGCUUAUGUUAUUUUACCUACGCUUAGGAUGUUGACUGAUAUGUAGUCGUA